rnacentral:rRNA from 1 species
GACGAACGCUGGCGGCGUGCCUAAUACAUGCAAGUCGAACGAGAGCGCCCGGUGCUUGCACUGGUCAAUCUAGUGGCGAACGGGUGAGUAACACGUGGGUAACCUGCCCAUCAGAGGGGGAUAACAUCCGGAAACGGAUGCUAAAACCGCAUAGGUCUUCGAACCGCAUGGUUUGAAGAGGAAAAGAGGCGCAAGCUUCUGCUGAUGGAUGGACCCGCGGUGCAUUAGCUAGUUGGUGAGGUAACGGCUCACCAAGGCCGUGAUGCAUAGCCGACCUGAGAGGGUGAUCGGCCACAUUGGGACUGAGACACGGCCCAAACUCCUACGGGAGGCAGCAGUAGGGAAUCUUCCGCAAUGGACGCAAGUCUGACGGAGCAACGCCGCGUGAGUGAAGAAGGUUUUCGGAUCGUAAAACUCUGUUGUUAGAGAAGAACAAGUGCUAGAGUAACUGUUAGCGCCUUGACGGUAUCUAACCAGAAAGCCACGGCUAACUACGU